AUCACCCUCAACUUCCUAACACAGAUUCGUUUUCCUUCCCUUUAUCAUUCAAAGGUUUAUCCCCCCCAUCUAUUAUCGAAUAUAGAAUCCUACGAGAAACAGCUUGAAGGAAUACAACCACAGUUUCAGCCAUGAUAGAAAUCCAACCAAACCUCAAGCUUCUUACGCCGUCCUUUGGAUUCUACUGGGAAGCGCUGCAACAUCAAGAAGAGUCUGCCAGAAGAUGAGAGUUGGAGAUGUCAGAAGAUCGAACAAAACUUAGCUUACAGAAAACACAGCAGGAUGCCAAUGAUUUUGAAAGUAGGGGAAUCGUUCCAAACAACAUAAUCAACACAAAGGUAUUAUGUCACAAUUUCUAACACAUUGUAGAAUAAGCCCAAGGAAAUUAAUAUCUUAUAUAAAUUCUGCCUCUUCACACCACAAACCCAUGCUUACCACCACAGCGAUCAAAAUUUCAGCCACACCUUCACCCAACAGUCAGACAACUACAGGGUGCACAUUUCAGAAUGAUGUCUACAACAGUGGCCAAUGGAAUUGAGAGAGAGAGAGAGAGAGAGAGAGAGAGAGAGAGAGAUUUAUUAAGCAUCCACAAAUAAAGAGCCUUUGCAGAAAAUACCCUACUUUGAAGAAGGGCAAGGAGUAAGGCAGCUAUGGGAUGGCUGAUCAGAGUGACCCACCAAAAGAAAACUGCUCAUUAAUCCUUGAGCACCAAAGCAGGUGGGCUUUGAAGUAUUCGGCUGUUUUCCAAGGACCAUUGGAUAUGGGAUUUUGGAUACGAAUAACACCCUCAUGCCCACCCAUUUAAUAAAACAUAUCUUUCUAAUUUAUAAUAUAUAAACGUCAUCUUCAAAAUUUUGUCUUUCAUGUUUUUAAGUAAAAAUUUUAUGGAUAACCAACAAGGUAAAACCCCAGUACAUAGGAUGUACACAAGAGGAGACACCUAGUUACCAAGAAGGGGAUUUUUGUUUUUGAUUGACACCAGGUGUCUGAGAACAAAGUUGUGACUAAUCCAAGGGUGCACAGUCCCUCCUAAUUCAAGGGAAAGUCCCCCUAGUCCGAUGACCCCUAGAAAUUAUUUACACCCAAGAGGAUUUGAAUCUUAAACCUAAAGGGAGCAUACCACCAAGACCAAGGCCUUUACAACUUGAGCCAACCCCUACGGGUUAGGAAGAAGGGGAAUGAAUAAACUACAAAAAUAAUAGUAUUUUCCUCAGGGUCCUUUCCUUUAAUUAGUCUUCAGACAUUAGGGUCUUUUCCUCCUUCAGAUCCGACUGCCUCCCCCUUCAUACCAGAGAGUUCAGCCUCCAGCCUCUAUCUCAGGCUAUUAGUUUAUUCUCCUCCUCACCGGCACCAAGAUCAGAUUAAUGAAACUUUUGAAAAAAUUUUAAAGAAUGGUUUUUAUGGGGUUUUAUGAAAGUGGUGGAACCCGUUAAAAAAGUGUUUGGAUUGAGAAAGCUUUUUAAAGAUGUUUUUAGUUGGGUAUGAAAACAUGGUGAGCUCCAUUGAAAAUGUGUUUGAGGAGCUAAGAACCAAGAAGAAUUUCUCACAAACCUCAUUUUGCCAAACAUCACAAAGAUUCAACUUGUUACAAAGUUUUCCAUUUCCCUCGGCCCACAAAAGAAAGAUCAAACUUUCUUUUUUACCACUUAUAACCCAUAGGCAGCUAACUACUAAACUUACUUUCCAAUGAUACACCGACCUAGAAUAUUGCAAUGUAAAUAUUGAGCCAAAAUUUUCCUAUUUACUUGAGUUGCGACUAUUGCACUUUUCAAUAAAGGAUGAAUUAUUAUUUUAAAAAAUCAAGUUAAGCUUUCACAUGUUUGUGGUCAUAAAUUAGAUAAUAGGGCAAUGGUAGAUAGGGUUUGAAGUUCCAAUUUCAAUCAUUUGUCAAGUUGAAAUUUAAAAACAAAGACUAAAGCUAGGAAACCCAAUUUUAGAUAUGAGCUAAGAUUAAUGAAUUAAGGAACUAUGAUUGACAUUGAGAGUGUGAAUAUCUCCAAUAAUACAAAACGCUUAUAGAAGUCUCACUUUUUUCUUUUAAGAGGGGCACAAAUUCAAGCCCUAAUGUGUAUGAAUGCAUACAAUUUCGCAUGUGUUAGUGUAUGUGUGAGGCAUUUGGAUUGCUCUGAAAUCAAGUUGACCACUAACUUUGGGUGAGAGUACGUGAGUCACUGACUCAUACAUGAUGCAACCACAUUACCAACCGAUUGUAGACAACUUGGACACUGAUUAACUUGCAAUCAGAAAAGUUGUUUGCCAAACAAGGUAAUCUACAUAAAAGUAUUACAACACCAAAUUUCCUACCACACAUUGCAGGAUACAACCAAGGAAACCUUUUUGAUAGGUGGAAAAGCCCAAGGAAACUGAUACCUAAUGCCUCCAUUUCCCUCAACCCACAAAAGAAAGAUUGAGUUUUCUAUUCUAUUGAUUUUAACUAAAUGCUGAUUCACUUACAAAUGGAAAACUGAACUAGAAGAUAGUAAAUAAAAACUGAGACAUUUUUCACAUGAUUGGGGUCAUAAAUUACACUGCAGUGCUCAAGUGGACUGCUUUUGAAGUCCAAAAUCCAAUCACUUGACAAUUUGAAAUUAAAAACUCAUAGAAUAGAGAUUGCAGAUAUGAGUUCAUAACAAAUAAAGGAGCCAGAACUGACAUUGCAAGUGAAUGCCACUGGCAAUAUAGAAAACUGUUUUAAGUCUCACUUUUACUUAUAUGUUUUUGAACUAAUUGGCAUUCCACAGUGGGUGAUGGGUAUGAACACAAGCCCUAAUACGUAGGGGUGCAUACAAUUUCCCAUAUGUAUUAUGUAUGAAGUAACCAUAGAAGAUCAAGCUGACCAACAACUUCAAGCGAGAGAAAGGGGAUUCUGGUUUGUGCCUUCAUAUAUAUGCUGAGUCACAGAUUCAUACACGAUGCAACUGCGAUAAAUUCGUCUUGAUCCAAAAGCAAAUGCAGCAGAUAAGCAAAAGCAAGAAAAUUACCUUCCACCAUAGACAAGAAAUCCAAGGGCAGCAAACAAAGAGACACCUGCCAAGAUAUAUGGGUCAGGAUCGAUGAUUCGGUAUCAGGAUAAACAGCAUAGUUUCUCUAAAAAAAGGUGUAUCUAGCAUAGAUAAACCUGCAAAGAACAUUUUAGAUAGGAUGACCACCAUUCGUACAGGCUUCCACCAUAGUAUCAACCACAAAGCAAUCUGGAA